UACGAAGGGGGCUAGCGUUGUUCGGAAUCACUGGGCGUAAAGGGCGCGUAGGCGGCUAUUCAAGUCGGGGGUGAAAGCCUGUGGCUCAACCACAGAAUUGCCUUCGAUACUGUUUGGCUUGAGCGAACCGGGAAGAGGACAGCAGGAACUGGCGAGUGUAGAGGUAGAAAUUCGUAGAUAUUCGCAAGAACACCAGUGGCGAAGGCGGCUGUCUGGUCCGGUUCUGACGCUGAGGCGCGAAAGCGUGGGGAGCAACAG
rnacentral:rRNA from 1 species